rnacentral:tRNA from 1 species
GUGCCUAUAGCUCAGCUGGAUAGAGCAACGGCCUUCUAAGCCGUGGGUCGCAGGUUCGAAUCCUGCUAGGCACG